rnacentral:rRNA from 1 species
UACGGAGGGUGCGAGCGUUGUCCGGAAUCACUGGGCGUAAAGGGCGCGUAGGUGGCGCGGCAAGUCAACGGUGAAAGCUCGACGCUCAACGUCGAGUCGGCCGUCGAUACUGCCGCGCUGGAGCACUGUAGAGGCAGAUGGAAUUCCGGGUGUAGCGGUGGAAUGCGUAGAGAUCCGGAAGAACACCCGGUGGCGAAGGCG